rnacentral:tRNA from 1 species
GGGGGCGUAGUUGAAUUUAACAACAUUGGCCUGUUAUGUCAAAGGUGCCAGGAAGUUCUGGUCGUCCCCG